CCUACGGGAGGCAGCAGUAGGGAAUUUUCCACAAUGGGCGAAAGCCUGAUGGAGCAACACCGCGUGCAGGAUGAAGGCCUUCGGGUUGUAAACUGCUUUUCUCUGCGACGAUUAUGACGGUAACAGAGGAAUAAGGACCUGCUAACUACGUGCCAGCAGCCGCGGUAAU
rnacentral:rRNA from 1 species